CUCAAAGGAAUUGACGGGGACCCGCACAAGCGGUGGAUGAUGUGGUUUAAUUCGAUGCAACGCGAAAAACCUUACCUACCCUUGACAUGUCUGGAAUCCUGAAGAGAUUUGGGAGUGCUCGAAAGAGAGCCAGAACACAGGUGCUGCAUGGCCGUCGUCAGCUCGUGUCGUGAGAUGUUGGGUUAAGUCCCGCAACGAGCGCAACCCUUGUCAUUAGUUGCUACGAAAGGGCACUCUAAUGAGACUGCCGGUGACAAACCGGAGGAAGGUGGGGAUGACGUCAGGUCCUCAUGGCCCUUAUGGGUAGGGCUACACACGUCAUACAAUGGCCGGUACAGAGGGCUGCCAACCCGCGAGGGGGAGCCAAUCCCAGAAAACCGGUCGUAGUCCGGAUCGCAGUCUGCAACUCGACUGCGUGAAGUCGGAAUCGCUAGUAAUCGCGGAUCAGAUUGCCGCGGUGAAUACGUUCCCGGGUCUUGUACACACCGCCCGUCACACCAUGGGAGCGGGUUCUGCCA
rnacentral:rRNA from 1 species